UACGUAGGUGUCGAGCGUUGUCCGGAUUUAUUGGGCGUAAAGAGCCCGCAGGCGGCCUGGUAAGUUCGAGGUGAAAUCUCCCGGCUUAACUGGGAGGGUGCCUCGAAAACUAUCAGGCUUGAGGCAUGGAGAGGGAUGCAGAAUUCCAGGUGUAGCGGUGAAAUGCGUAGAUAUCUGGAGGAAUACCAGUGGCGAAGGCGGCAUCCUGGCCAUGUCCUGACGCUCAGGGGCGAAAGCGUGGGGAGCAAACCGG
rnacentral:rRNA from 1 species